UUAGGUUAAGUUAUGAAGGGCGCAUGGUGAAUGCCUUGGUACUAGGAGCCGAUGAAGGACGGGACUAACACCGAUAUGCUUCGGGGAGCGGUAAGUACGCUUUGAUCCGGAGAUUUCCGAAUGGGGAAACCUAAUCAGCUUAGUCGCUGAUUGCUUGACUAGUGAAUACAUAGCUAGCAAGAGGUAGACGCAGUGAACUGAAACAUCUUAGUAGCUGCAGGAAGAGAAAGAAAUAUCGAUUCCCUGAGUAGCGGCGAGCGAAAAGGGAAGAGCCCAAACCAACAAGCUUGCUUGUUGGGGUUGUAGGACUGAACAUUCGAGUCA
rnacentral:rRNA from 2 species